CAACACGGCUCGUUUUAUGGCAACGUAGCUAAACAGCAGGUAGUCACGAAUGUGUCAGGACUCCUCCUAGUAGAGCGAUAUGCAUUAAAAAUAACAAAGUUUUUGUGUUACAUGUCAUUUACUCAUAAAGGACCGCCGGAGCUUAGCAUAAAGGCCGGCAAUAAUCUAUAAGUCGAGGAAGCUAACAAGCUAGCAGUGGUAAUAGCACUUUGGGUUUACUGUUGUUAAAUAACUCCGCAGCUGGAUGAGCUUGCUAGGAUGAAUGGGAAAGCUAAGAAGCUAACGAUGGUCAUUGUGUUAUAGGUUGGAUUUGUGCUGUCUUUUUGGAGAUAAACUUUUAUAAAUAAUAAAUUAGGAGUUAUGAGAAUAAACAGAUAUGUAAUUUCGAGCACGGGGUCUCGUGGUUAUUUACAGCUGAAUAUCCUCGGUGUGGGAUUAGCUUAUUUUCUCCUUGGAAAGACGACAUUCGCUCCUUUCAGCUACCUCAAAAUACACGGGAGUCGGUGAUGCUGUCGGUCGCUGGACAAAUGCACCGGGUGUCCGAACUAGGACAGAGCGGCCAGACUCCGUUAUAAGCGAUGAAAAACUGCGAGUAUCAACAAAUAGACCCGCAAGCACUUCCGACGCCCACCCCGACCCCUCCGCCUCAUCAUGGGAAUGACACGGAGAAGAAGAAGGAGCCGAGAAGACCCAGGAGAAAGUGGGAAGUUUUCCCCGGAAAGAAUCGCUUCUACUGCGAUGGACGGAUCAUAGUGGCCCGACAGAGUGGGGUCCUUCCCCUUACCCUGGGUCUCAUCCUCGUCACAAGUGGUUUAUUUUUUAUAUUUGAUUGUCCGUUCCUGGUCAAACACCUGACCAGCUGCAUACCUGUUAUUGGAGGAGUCCUCUUUGUGUUUGUGCUCAUCACCCUGCUCCAGACCAGCUUCACCGACCCCGGCAUCCUGCCCAGAGCAACACCAGAUGAGGCUGCAGACAUUGAGAAACAGAUUGACAACACUGGAAACACCAGCUAUCGACCUCCGCCUCGCACCAAGGAAGUGCUAAUCAAUCAGCAGGUGGUGAAGCUCAAGUACUGCUUCACCUGCAAGAUGUUCCGCCCUCCGCGCACCUCCCACUGCAGCCUGUGUGACAACUGUGUGGAGAGAUUCGACCAUCACUGCCCCUGGGUUGGGAACUGUGUAGGGAAACGUAACUAUCGGUUUUUCUACACCUUCAUCGUGUCGCUCUCCUUCCUGACGGCGUUCAUCUUCGGCUGUGUGACCACACACCUAGCACUGAGAGCUCAGGGCGGGAAGGGCCUAGUGUUUGCGCUUCAGGAGAGUCCGGGGAGUGCAGUGGAGCUGGUGAUAUGUUUCUUUUCAGUUUGGUCCAUUUUGGGCCUCUCAGGCUUCCAUACAUACCUGGUUGCUUCCAAUCUUACCACUAACGAAGACAUUAAAGGCUCCUGGUCAGGGAAGAGUGGAGAAGAUGUUACAAACCCAUACAGUCAUAAAAACAUCUUUAUCAACUGUUGCUCGGUGCUUUGUGCGCCCAUGCCGCCAAGCUUGAUUGACAGACGGGGUUUCCUGCCGGCAGAUGAGUCUGCCCAGACUGGCAGUGCUGACAUCGAGCUGCCCACCCUGGCUGCUAAAAGCGAGAUAAAUGUGUGCACACAGGGAACUAAAGGUCUGCUAGAAUCGGCUGCGCUUUCUCCGCUCCUGUCCACCUCGUGUCCUCAGGGGAAACCUCAGAAUGCUCAUUCCUGCCCAGAAACCAGCCCAGCGUUGAACUCUGACCCCACAUCGGAGUUCUCUAAAGGCUGCAGGGGUAACCAUACGUCCAGCUCCCAUGGCGAUACUUCUCGUCCACGUCACACCAAAGCUCGCUCAAAGAAAUGCAGACGAGAGGCUCUGCAUAUUCCCAACCCUGCAUUUGAUGUCCCAGUUUCCCCUACCUCUCCGGACGCUGCCCCUGACUCCAAAGCCAGGAGCCACAAAGGAGGCAGCCUCACCCCGUUGCACUGACUGACUGUCUUGAAUGAUGUUUUUCACAAGUCAAACACUGUUUGAGGCUUGCAUGCUGUAACACAGUCAGAUCCAAGUUAUAUGAUUUUUUUUGUUUGGUUAUUCCUGUUGGUUCUCUGAAACUCCAGGAGCGUUGAAGAUGUUUGGUCACUGAGUAAGACAAUCACAGGGGAAAUAGGACAAAUGUGAUGAAGAGGAUUCUAGAUGCAACAUAGCGCUGGUGUAGAGAAAAGUUCUAAGAAGGUUUGUGAGCCGUAGAUUCUUCUGUAAAAAAACAAAUUUACCAGCAUGUCAGAUUUCACCAAAUUUGUGAAACAGCGGCUUUAAUGUAUCAGGUGGAUGGAAGCUCUGAAUUGUGUAUAUCUAUAAAGAGAGGAUCCUUGAAGGGAAAAUCCACCCAAAAAUGUUCACAUCUCAAGCUGUACAGGCAGUGAUUAAUGGAACAAGUCGCAGGACUCGUAGACUAAAGCACUGUCCUCAAAACACUUUCAUGUGGAAUCACCCGUUUAGCUCACUGGGUUAAGCAGGCAACCCAUUUGCCUCAAGACAUGUCUUCCCCCUGGUUUUCUCCCAGGCUUCCUGUCUUCUCUUUGCUCUCCUAUUGCAAUAUAAUCCAUAUAAUCUGGUACAGAAUUUAUAUGGAGUAAAUAUUUAGUCACCACAGCCACCACAGGUGGGUAAGGUUUGGCCACCCCUUCUGCCCAGUAAGUGUGAAACGGCAAUGUCUGCAAAUAAGCCUUUACUGCACAGUGGUUGAAAUAUCUAAUUUAUUCAUUUGGAUUGUUGUAGGGCUUUAGGGGUAUGCCUGCUCUGUUCCACCACCUGUCAUUGUCUGUUCUGCUAAUUUAAAUCUCUGAACUGGAUCUCUGGGCUGUGUUUGAGGAGGUGAUUCUUUUUGGAACAUUUUUAAUUAAUUAUUAAUACUCUUAAUAAGCUUUUGUUUCAGUUUUACUAUAGGGAAUUUAUUCUUCUGUUACUUGACACUUUUAAAAACUUUUUUUUUUUUAAGUUUUACAUAAAAAUGCUUGUUAAGCAUGAGUCCUCAUGGCAUACCUUUCUAUGGCAGUCAUGCCUAAAUGAUUAGGAAUGAUUUGGUACAUCUGGUAAGCAAUCAUUUGGUACUACAACAAUCUGUAAAAUGGGGAAACAAGAACUAGAAAUAGUUCUGAGCUCAACCUGCCCACCUCUUUAAAAACUAUCUGGCUCUGUGGCUGCUUCCACUGGGUUUCAGUCUAACAGAACCUGAGGGUACCAAAUGCAGAGAUGGGGAUAUAACUGAACUAUGCACUUGUUUUUCCCCCCCACAUCUAUAAUAAUGCAGGCAAAGAUUUGGUCCACUGACCUUAGUGACAUUGAAUAUUGGAUUAAUCAUUCAAAUCUAUAUGUAAAACACCUAAUUUUUCACUGAAGGUGAUGACUUUGCGUUCUAAAAUAAGCAAAAUGUGAAUGUUGUUGUGUGGAUUUUUCCGAUGACCUUGCACAAACAGCACAGUGGAUAAGAUGUAAAUCAGUUUAGUGGUGUGUACUGUUGUUCAGAUCUUCGUGCUGUAAAAUGGAAUUGAGUGCAACUGCAUGGUCAUGACUAAAAGGUGUAUUUUAUGAUGUUUCUUUAAAUGCAUUCAAACAUUGUACCAUCUCA